rnacentral:misc_RNA from 1 species
AACGGUCUAUACCUGCGGUACCUGCGGAAGGAUCAUUACCGAGUUUACAACUCCCAAACCCAUGUGAACAUACCUAUCGUUGCUUCGGCGGGAUCGCCCCGGGCGCCUUGUGUGCCCCGGAUCCAGGCACCCGCCGGGGGACCUUAACUCUUGUUUUAUUUAGAAUCUUCUGAGUAGUUUUUACAAAUAAAUAAAAACUUUCAGCAAUGGAUCUCU